rnacentral:rRNA from 1 species
AUGCACUGGCUAUCUUGGGAUAAGCUUACAGUACCAAAAUGUAAGGGCAGAAUGGGAUUUGGUGACUUCAAUUUUUUUAACUUGGCGAUGCUAGGGAAACACGGUUGGAGACUGUUGACUGACCCAACUUCCUUCUGCGCCAGAGUUCUCAAGGGGAGGUAUUUUCCUGAUUGUGACUUCAUGCAUGCUAGUGCACCCUCGAUUUCAUCAGCAACUUGGUGUGCUAUUAUCGCUGGGAGAGACGCCUUGAAUGUUGGACUAAUUAACAGGAUUGGGGAUGGUUCGAGUGUAUCUGUGUGGGAUGACAAAUGGAUUCCAGGUACAUUGACAAUGAAACCUAUCAUCAAACCUGCGAACACUUCAGUACAAUUUGUGAGUGACUUAAUUGAUGAUGAGAACUGGUCGUGGCGGAUGGACCUAGUUCGAGACACCUUUGUUCCUACUGAUGCAGCCGCUAUAUUGAACAUUCCAUUGCGGUCAGGAGGAGGAGCAGAUUUCUUGGCUUGGGCUUUCGAGAAGUCCGGCAUCUACACUGUCAAAUCAGCGUACCGUGCUCUCAUGAUUUAA